CAUAGAUAACAUCGUCGCAGGAAAGAGAAGGGGACUGGCGAUGGUGGGUCAAACUAGUAGGUCUGCCGAUUUCUCGUGUGUACGAAACCUACGAUACAUCAUUUUCGGCUGGGAUGAUCUUACGGUAGAUUUACCAUUUGUACAGUUUAUGGGCGUCGGUCUGGGCCAUAAACUUGCUUGGCAAUGACGGGAGUGCGGCUCGCCGUCGACCAAGUUAGGUAAGCCUGGAUGCUAUGACCACGAGUAACAAUGAGAAAGUAAGAAAGCAUAUACAAGAUAUAUAUAAGUGUAUAUAUGUGUAAAAGAGAGAGUAAGGAAAGAAAUCUUGUGGCUCGAAGGAACCUUAUCAGCGGUGGAAAUAGUUGGAGAUCUUGCAAAGGCAAUAAUCGUGUUCCCCAGAUUGCGCCACGGUCGAAAGUGUUGUCGAUCUAUUGCUACCCGCUAACCUAUGUCUCGUCGAGCACUAUUAUUCGAACUAGGUAUUCGAAACAUUCUUGUUUCUUCGCGUAAAAAUUUGUUCGGCCUCGUUUGUUCUUUGAAAUAGAUAGUUGGAUAUCCUAGUUGUGGAAUGUUUGUUUGGUUUCUUAUAUGUGAUAAGUGAAAUUUGUAUUUAGAAAUUUAUUGAUAUACUUGUGGACUCUCAAUUCAUAAAUCAAAGUUGUUUUAAAUGUUUAUUCAAGAAUUUGAAAAUAAUCUGAAGAAUCAAAAUCUAUAUUUCUGAAUUUCGUCAACUGGUUCCACAUCUAGAAUUCUUCCUUCACAUGGCGAGCUUCUUCGAAACGAAUGUAUUUAGCACCGAUCGAGGAUUAUUUUUAGCCAUUGCGUGUAUUUUUAGGGUCUCCAUAGCAUGUAAGUACAAACUCGUCCAUCCGUGUACGCGUUGGGGUUCGCUGCGUCGAACUCUGCUUCGUCGACAAACUUCGCAAAAGGGUAGGGCAAAACUUUUUUUUUUUAUGUUUAUUAAUAAAGAAGAAGCAUCGAGAAAAGACUCCGUGAAGCUUCAACCGUCAAGCUUCUCUGCUUUCUCCACACUUUCUCUUCUUCUUCUUUUUUUUUUUUUUUUUUUUUUUUUUUUUUUC